rnacentral:rRNA from 1 species
AGAUUGAACGCUGGCGGCAGGCCUAACACAUGCAAGUCGAGCGGCAGCACGGGUACUUGUACCUGGUGGCGAGCGGCGGACGGGUGAGUAAUGCCUAGGAAUCUGCCUGGUAGUGGGGGAUAACGCUCGGAAGCGGACGCUAAUACCGCAUACGUCCUACGGGAGAAAGCAGGGGACCUUCGGGCCUUGCGCUAUCAGAUGAGCCUAGGUCGGAUUAGCUAGUUGGUGGGUAAUGGCUCACCAAGGCGACGAUCCGUAACUGGUCUGAGAGGAUGAUCAGUCACACCGGAACUGAGACACGGUCCGGACUCCGUACGGGAGGCAGCAGUGGGGAAUAUUGGACAAUGGGCGCAAGCCUGACCCAGCAAUGCCGCGUGUGUGAAGAAGGCCGUUCGGUUAGUAAAGCGACGUUUAAGUGG